rnacentral:rRNA from 1 species
UACGUAGGGGGCGAGCGUUGUCCGGAAUUACUGGGCGUAAAGCGUGCGCAGGCGGUUCGGAAAGAAAGAUGUGAAAUCCCAGAGCUUAACUUUGGAACUGCAUUUUUAACUACCGAGCUAGAGUGUGUCAGAGGGAGGUGGAAUUCCGCGUGUAGCAGUGAAAUGCGUAGAUAUGCGGAGGAACACCGAUGGCGAAGGCAGCCUCCUGGGAUAACACUGACGCUCAUGCACGAAAGCGUGGGGAGCAAACAGG